rnacentral:lncRNA from 1 species
UGUGUUGUGCAGCUGCUAAGGGGGGAUGGAGGAGGAGUGGCACUGGCAAUUCAAGACUGCCUUUCCUACCCUUUUCAGUGCCUCUUUCAGUGAUAUCAAGUUAAAACCAGAUACUGCUUUCAUAGUACUCUUCUGACCAUGGUUUUCUGGAGUUUUUUCAUAUGGAGUUUGUAAGCUUCCUGACAUGUUAUUUUUGGUAGAUUUUGAUGGAUGUACAUUGAUGGAUAGCCACAUGGAUCCAGAAAAUAAAGACUUCUACUGUGCAUAUUGACUAAAGCAAAAGAUAUGCAAGGAAGCUCAGUCUCUCAGUUGAGUGGAUUCUGAAAUUUAUCCUGUUGUCUUCAGCUACUAAGGCUAAUUUGCAAAUCACACUGUGCACGGAAACAACCUGUUCAGUGGCUGCUGAUUAACUCCCAAAGAUUGAUGUACUGAAGAAGGAUGACCUCCCCUUGACACCAAUGCUACUAGUCAAUAGCAACCACUGUGACUCGGAACAAAUUCUCUGGGGGCAGGCAGUGAAGCUUCUUCUCUUGUUGACCUUACCAGACCACAAGGCUGAAAAUAUUCUGUGGCCUGAUGCCCUUAAAUUGAUCAUAUUAAUACAAUCAAGCAGAAAAGAAAUUAUUUUUCCCGCUCUCUGUCUAUACAUAUACUUACUACUAUAGUGUAGUAUAUAUAUAUAUAUACACACACUAUAUAUGUGUGUAUAUAUAUGCUAUAUAUGUGUGUGUGUAUAUAUAUAGCAGUACAUAUAGAUAUAAUUAGUAUAUAUAGAAGUAGUAAAUAUAUACAAAUAUA